GAAGAAGAGGAGGAGAAGAUUGGGAAAUGUGUUAAUCAUGUUGCAGUGGGCUAAGGAAUGAAAACACUGGAGAAUUUUAAAAACAUUGCCUGGUCUGAUGAAUCCCUGUUCCUGCUGUUUCACGCUGAUUGGAGGAAACCACAAGUACAACAUUGCAGGCUGGUGGUGGUGGUGGUAUGAUGGUGUGUUUUCAUGCCACAUAUUGGGCCCCUUGAUAAAAGUGGAGCAACGUUUGUGUAAAAAAUCAUUGCCAAUCAGGUGCAUCCCUUCAUGGUGGCCAGGAAUGAUUCCAAGAACAUGACAGGGAAUUCAGCUUGCCAAGUCACCAGAUCUCUGCCGAGUCACCAGAUCUCAAUCCAAUUGUGCAUCUGUGGGAGGACAUGGAAGGAGCUAUUCAGAGUAGAUCCACUCCCAGCCAACUUGACACAAUUGUGGGAAGCAUUGGAGUCAACAUGGGCCAGCAUCCCUGUGGAACGUUCUCAACACCUUGGAGAGUCCAUACCCCGACUAUUGAGGCUGUUCUGAGGACAAAAGGAGGUAUAACUCAAUAUUAGGAAGCCAUUCCUAAUGUUUUGUGCACUCAGUGUAUAUCAGAUAAAGAUGUUGUGGUGAUCAGUUUUCAGCAUUAGUUUGGGUGAAUAAUUUUAUAUUACUCAACCAUUUUGUUUAAUGAUAAACAGGCUAUGAAUUGAAUACUUGUGUUUCUUAAUUUCUUUUAAUACUAGAUUUAUUUUAGUCAUUGAUGAUGAAUGUAUUUGAAUAACUGUAUUGAAGUUAAUUGAUCUGGCAGCAGGUAGCCAGCGGUUAAGAGUGUUGGGCCAGUAACUGAAAGGUCGCUUGUUUGAAUCCCGAGCCGACUAGGUGAAAAAUCUGUCAUUGUGUCCUUGAGCAAGCCAAUUAACUCUUAUUUGUCCUGUAAGUCUUUCUGGAUAAAAACAUCUGCUAAAUGACAAGAAUGCAAUGAAAAAUAAUGUUUGUACAUGAAUUCAUGCUGGGCAGCCACUUUUUUCUGAUGUGUAUAAUUAAAUGAAAAACUGUUUUUAGUUAAAUACUG